rnacentral:rRNA from 1 species
UGCCAGCCGCCGCGGUAAUACGGAGGGUGCAAGCGUUAAUCGGAUUUAUUGGGCGUAAAGAGCGCGUAGGCGGGGAUGUCAGUCAGACGUGAAAUCCCGGGGCUCAACCCCGGAACUGCAUUUGAUACUGCAUCUCUUGAGGGUAGGCGGAGAAAACGGAAUUCCACGUGUAGCGGUGAAAUGCGUAGAUAUGUGGAAGAACACCGGUGGCGAAGGCGGUUUUCUAGCUUAUUCCUGACGCUGAGGCGCGAAAGCAAGGGGAGCAAACAGGAUUAGAUA